UUAAGCGACUAAGCGUACACGGUGGAUGCCCUGGCAGUCAGAGGCGAUGAAGGACGUGCUAAUCUGCGAUAAGCGUCGGUAAGGUGAUAUGAACCGUUAUAACCGGCGAUUUCCGAAUGGGGAAACCCAGUGUGAUUCGUCACACUAUCAUUAACUGAAUCCAUAGGUUAAUGAGGCGAACCGGGGGAACUGAAACAUCUAAGUACCCCGAGGAAAAGAAAUCAACCGAGAUUCCCCCAGUAGCGGCGAGCGAACGGGGAGGAGCCCAGAGCCUGAAUCAGUGUGUGUGUUAGUGGAAGCGUCUGGAAAGGCGCGCGAUACAGGGUGACAGCCCCGUACACAAAAAUGCACAUGCUGUGAGCUCGAUGAGUAGGGCGGGACACGUGGUAUCCUGUCUGAAUAUGGGGGGACCAUCCUCCAAGGCUAAAUACUCCUGACUGACCGAUAGUGAACCAGUACCGUGAGGGAAAGGCGAAAAGAACCCCGGCGAGGGGAGUGAAAAAGAACCUGAAACCGUGUACGUACAAGCAGUGGGAGCCUCUUUAUGGGGUGACUGCGUACCUUUUGUAUAAUGGGUCAGCGACUUAUAUUCUGUAGCAAGGUUAACCGAAUAGGGGAGCCGAAGGGAAACCGAGUCUUAACUGGGCGUUAAGUUGCAGGGUAUAGACCCGAAACCCGGUGAUCUAGCCAUGGGCAGGUUGAAGGUUAGGUAACACUAACUGGAGGACCGAACCGACUAAUGUUGAAAAAUUAGCGGAUGACUUGUGGCUGGGGGUGAAAGGCCAAUCAAACCGGGAGAUAGCUGGUUCUCCCCGAAAGCUAUUUAGGUAGCGCCUCGUGAAUUCAUCUCCGGGGGUAGAGCACUGUUUCGGCAAGGGGGUCAUCCCGACUUACCAACCCGAUGCAAACUGCGAAUACCGGAGAAUGUUAUCACGGGAGACACACGGCGGGUGCUAACGUCCGUCGUGAAGAGGGAAACAACCCAGACCGCCAGCUAAGGUCCCAAAGUCAUGGUUAAGUGGGAAACGAUGUGGGAAGGCCCAGACAGCCAGGAUGUUGGCUUAGAAGCAGCCAUCAUUUAAAGAAAGCGUAAUAGCUCACUGGUCGAGUCGGCCUGCGCGGAAGAUGUAACGGGGCUAAACCAUGCACCGAAGCUGCGGCAGCGACGCUUAUGCGUUGUUGGGUAGGGGAGCGUUCUGUAAGCCUGUGAAGGUGUGCUGUGAGGCAUGCUGGAGGUAUCAGAAGUGCGAAUGCUGACAUAAGUAACGAUAAAGCGGGUGAAAAGCCCGCUCGCCGGAAGACCAAGGGUUCCUGUCCAACGUUAAUCGGGGCAGGGUGAGUCGACCCCUAAGGCGAGGCCGAAAGGCGUAGUCGAUGGGAAACAGGUUAAUAUUCCUGUACUUGGUGUUACUGCGAAGGGGGGACGGAGAAGGCUAUGUUGGCCGGGCGACGGUUGUCCCGGUUUAAGCGUGUAGGCUGGUUUUCCAGGCAAAUCCGGAAAAUCAAGGCUGAGGCGUGAUGACGAGGCACUACGGUGCUGAAGCAACAAAUGCCCUGCUUCCAGGAAAAGCCUCUAAGCAUCAGGUAACAUCAAAUCGUACCCCAAACCGACACAGGUGGUCAGGUAGAGAAUACCAAGGCGCUUGAGAGAACUCGGGUGAAGGAACUAGGCAAAAUGGUGCCGUAACUUCGGGAGAAGGCACGCUGAUAUGUAGGUGAAGCGACUUGCUCGUGGAGCUGAAAUCAGUCGAAGAUACCAGCUGGCUGCAACUGUUUAUUAAAAACACAGCACUGUGCAAACACGAAAGUGGACGUAUACGGUGUGACGCCUGCCCGGUGCCGGAAGGUUAAUUGAUGGGGUCAGCGCAAGCGAAGCUCUUGAUCGAAGCCCCGGUAAACGGCGGCCGUAACUAUAACGGUCCUAAGGUAGCGAAAUUCCUUGUCGGGUAAGUUCCGACCUGCACGAAUGGCGUAAUGAUGGCCAGGCUGUCUCCACCCGAGACUCAGUGAAAUUGAACUCGCUGUGAAGAUGCAGUGUACCCGCGGCAAGACGGAAAGACCCCGUGAACCUUUACUAUAGCUUGACACUGAACAUUGAGCCUUGAUGUGUAGGAUAGGUGGGAGGCUUAGAAGUGUGGACGCCAGUCUGCAUGGAGCCGACCUUGAAAUACCACCCUUUAAUGUUUGAUGUUCUAACGUUGACCCGUAAUCCGGGUUGCGGACAGUGUCUGGUGGGUAGUUUGACUGGGGCGGUCUCCUCCUAAAGAGUAACGGAGGAGCACGAAGGUUGGCUAAUCCUGGUCGGACAUCAGGAGGUUAGUGCAAUGGCAUAAGCCAGCUUGACUGCGAGCGUGACGGCGCGAGCAGGUGCGAAAGCAGGUCAUAGUGAUCCGGUGGUUCUGAAUGGAAGGGCCAUCGCUCAACGGAUAAAAGGUACUCCGGGGAUAACAGGCUGAUACCGCCCAAGAGUUCAUAUCGACGGCGGUGUUUGGCACCUCGAUGUCGGCUCAUCACAUCCUGGGGCUGAAGUAGGUCCCAAGGGUAUGGCUGUUCGCCAUUUAAAGUGGUACGCGAGCUGGGUUUUAGAACGUCGUGAGACAGUUCGGUCCCUAUCUGCCGUGGGCGCUGGAGAACUGAGGGGGGCUGCUCCUAGUACGAGAGGACCGGAGUGGACGCAUCACUGGUGUUCGGGUUGUCAUGCCAAUGGCACUGCCCGGUAGCUAAAUGCGGAAGAGAUAAGUGCUGAAAGCAUCUAAGCACGAAACUUGCCCCGAGAUGAGUUCUCCCUGACCCUUUAAGGGUCCUGAAGGAACGUUGAAGACGACGACGUUGAUAGGCCGGGUGUGUAAGCGCAGCGAUGCGUUGAGCUAACCGGUACUAAUGAACCGUGAGGCUUAACCUU
rnacentral:rRNA from 1 species